UACGGGAGGCAGCAGUGCGGGAAUUUUGCGCAAUGGGGGAAACCCUGACGCAGCAACGCCGCGUGGAGGAUGAAAUCCCUUGGGAUGUAAACUCCUUUCGAUCGGGACGAUAAUGACGGUACCGAUAGAAGAAGCCCCGGCUAACUUCGUGCCAGCAGCCGCGGUAAUACGAGGGGGGCAAGCGUUGUUCGGAAUUAUUGGGCGUAAAGGGUGCGUAGGCGGUUUGAUAAGUCAUCUGUGAAAUCUAUGGGCUCAACCCAUAGUCUGCAGGCGAAACUGUCGGGCUUGAGAGUGGGAGAGGUGAGUGGAAUUUCCGGUGUAGCGGUGAAAUGCGUAGAUAUCGGAAGGAACACCUGUGGCGAAAGCGGCUCACUGGACCAUUUCUGACGCUGAUGCACGAAAGCUAGGGGAGCAAACAGGAUUAGAUACCCUGGUAGUCCUAGCCCUAAACGAUGAUUGCUUGAUGUGGAGGGUACCCAAUCCUUCCGUGUCGAAGCUAACGCGAUAAGGCAAUCCGCCUGGGGAGUAC
rnacentral:rRNA from 1 species